rnacentral:rRNA from 1 species
AACGAACGCUGGCGGCGCGUAUUAAGCAUGCAAGUCGAACGGGAACCUUCCCGCAAGGGGAGGGGAGAGUGGCGAACGGGUGAGUAACACGUAGGUGAUCUGUCCCCGGGUGGGGUAUAGCCCAUGGAAACAUGGGGUAAUACCGCAUGAGGUCCUGGAGCUUGAAGGCUUCUGGAUGAAAGGCGCAAUUGGGUUGCCUGGGGAUGAGCCUGCGGCUCAUUAGCUAGUUGGCGGGGUAAGGGCCCACCAAGGCGACGAUGGGUAGCCGGCCUGAGAGGGGGUACGGCCACACUGGGACUGAGACACGGCCCAGACUCCUACGGGAGGCAGCAGCUAAGAAUCUUCCGCAAUGGGGGAAACCCUGACGGAGCGAAGCCGCGUGGACGAAGAAGGCCGCAAGGUUGUAAAGUCCUUUUGCAGACGAAGAAUAAGGCCUGGAGUGGAAAGCCAGGCUGAUGACGUUAGUCUGCGAAUAAGCCCCGGCCAAUUACGUGCCAGCCGCCGCAGUAAGAC